GCGCCGCCUGGACCUCUCCAACCUGAAGCAGUGCUCCGACCCCCUGCUCAGCGACUUCAAGAACGUGGACAUCACGAAGCGGACGCUGCUGCACGAAGGGGCGCUGACGUGGCGCGUGUCCCGCGACAAAUCCGUGGAGGUGCAGGCGCUGCUGCUGGACGAGGUGCUGAUGCUGCUGCAGCGCGUGGAGGAGCGGCUGGUGCUCCGCCCCCACAGCCGAGGCCCCGCCCCCCCCGACGGCCGCCGCCUGCUCAGCCCCAUUGUCCCGU
rnacentral:lncRNA from 1 species